rnacentral:rRNA from 1 species
UCUUGGUCCCAUUAGAGGAAGUAAAAGUCGUAACAAGGUCUCCGUUGGUGAACCAGCGGAGGGAUCAUUGCUGGAACACGCCUCACGGCGUACCCAGAAACCCUUUGUGAACUUAUAAGACCCAAUCGUUGCCUCGGCAAGGCUGGGGGACGUCACGUCCCUCCCGCUCUCGGGCGGAGCAGGUCUGCCGGCGGCCCUUCUAUAAACUCUUGUUUACCUUACGUAUUACUUCUGAGUUAUAAACAAAACAAAUGAAUCAAAACUUUCAACAACGGAUCUCUUGGUUCUGGCAUCGAUGAAGAACGCAGCGAAAUGCGAUAAGUAAUGUGAAUUGCAGAAUUCAGUGAAUCAUCGAAUCUUUGAACGCACAUUGCGCCCGCUGGAAUUCCGGCGGGCAUGCCUGUUCGAGCGUCAUUUCAACCCUCAAGCUCUGCUUGGUGUUGGGGCACAGCCUUUCAUAGGGCUGGCCCUGAAAUCCAGUGGCGGGCUCGCUAAGACUCCGAGCGUAGUAAUUUUCUCUUCGCUAUGGAAGGACUGGCGGUGCUCUUGCCGUAAAACCCCCCAAUUUUUUACUGGUGACCUCGGCUCAGGUAUGCAUGAAAGACCCAGAGG